UACGUAGGGUGCGAGCGUUGUCCGGAAUUAUUGGGCGUAAAGAGCUUGUAGGCGGCUUGUCGCGUCUGCUGUGAAAUCCCGGGGCUUAACCCCGGGCUUGCAGUGGGUACGGGCAGGCUAGAGUGUGGUAGGGGAGACUGGAAUUCCUGGUGUAGCGGUGGAAUGCGCAGAUAUCAGGAGGAACACCGAUGGCGAAGGCAGGUCUCUGGGCCAUUACUGACGCUGAGAAGCGAAAGCGUGGGGAGCGAACAGG
rnacentral:rRNA from 1 species